CGGGCCUUCUUUUCGAAGUAAGAUGCAGGAAGAGACCAGGGAUGCUAGCUAGGUAGCUAGCGUGCUAACCGGAGCGAUAACAGAAACAACAGAUUUCCCCCCAGGUCGAAGAAUAAUGAGUUUGAAACGGCGCCUAUUAAUAUACGACAUUGUAUUUUAUGUAUUACCAUUAUACUUCCUAAUCGGAGCACUUCCAUGCACUGCAAUUGAUGUGUACACGCCACAGGAGGUGUUUGUGGAGAAUGGUACAACGGAAAUUCUCCACUGCUCUUUCAAGUCGAACCAAGUCAUCAGCAGCGCGGCUUCUGUGUCUUGGUCAUUUCAACCUGAUGGAUCAAACACCCCCGCAACAACUAUAUUUUACUUUUCGGGUGGAAGGCCUUAUCCAGGAGACUUUGCCCAGUUCAAGGAGAGGGUACUUUGGGCCGGAGAUCUGAAUAAGAAAGACGCCUCAAUAAAAUUGGUGAAAGCACAGUUCAAUGACAAUGGCACCUACACCUGUGAUGUGAAGAAUCCUCCUGACGUUGGAGUGAUCCCAUCAAGCAUGCAGUUAAGGGUUGUUAUGAAAGAAGCUCUUCCCCAGAACAACACUGGAGUUAUUGUAGGAGCAGUCAUCGGUGCCAUUGUUCUUCUUGUCCUGAUUGUCUCAAUCAUCAUCCUUGUAAUCAAGAGGAAGGACUCCACUCAUGCUUAUGAGGGUUGCACUUCCAUUGAGAGUGUCAGUUCGCAAGCAACUCGGACGGGGAAGAAGGCUGAGUCCAGUACGGAGGGUUCAAGGUGUAGCAGUCCAUCUGCCCCUGUUCAGGUAGGAACCCCUGGAGUGUUACUGUGGACCCAUGUGCACUGGUGGUGGGGCAGCUUUAAAUGUACACACCUUUCCUUUCUUUUGUUUACUUUUGCAGGGUUACAUAUUUGACUGCCAAGUGCUUUUGUACGUUUCUGUAGUCUCUUGAUUGGAUCCUUUUGAGGCUUGUAUUAUUCUUUUUCUUUUAUUGUUCUGGGAUCUGUUGGGACUUGGGUGUCUUGCAUGCAGUGUUUAAAUGGUGACUUCUCCUGCCUUUCAUCCUUCCCAUGGCUGAGGGGGGGGACUCCCUCUCUGUCGCAUAUCAGUGCGGCAUGCCAGAACAUGAAGACCAGCAUGUUGGUCUAAAACAUUUUGUGGUCCUAUAAGCAAAACAUUCCGCUGAGGAAUCAAUUGUUCCACAAAUGAGAACUCUUACCUUUUUGGUUGGUUCACAGGGACCGGUGAUAUAUGCCCAGCUCGAUCAUUCAGGGACCAAGAACCCCAACUCAUUCCACAAGAUGGAGCCAGUGGUUUAUGCUGACAUCCGGAAACCGUAAGCCGUAUUAUCAAGGACUGAAAGGGACUGAAGUGCAGUAAUCCGUCUAGCAAGUUCUGUUUGGAAUUUGUGAACAAAGCCCCACCCCUUUAAUAUGGAAAUCAUUGCAUGUUUGUUAAAUGUGUACUAAGAAAUUCACUACAUGGAUCAUAGGCUUCACACUAAUUUUCACACAUGCGGAAGGUAAUAAGUGCUAGUCUUAAUAUUAUACUGGUGCUUUUUUGCUAAAGGAUGUCUGUUGUAGCCACAUUAGAGUAGAAAAGAACUUUGCUGCUUUGAAAGAUGCAUCAAUUUUCUUUUUCGUUUGUUAUGAAUUUUAUGCGUCAAUGCUCUAAAUAUGUGUUUUACUGCCUUGGACAAAUGGGUGGUAAAGUUUUCUGGUUGUUAGGCUCUGGGCUGGACUGGGAUUCAAUAUUGGCCCUGGAUUUAGGGUACUUUUUUCCAAGGAGGGAGACCCCGACAAAAGGUUUUGCCUGCCUAUGUACCAAUCGGCCCACUGGGAAGAUGUCUGGUACAACAGAUGACCAGUCCAGCCCUUGUUAGGCUGAUGCUGUUGUUAUAACCUAAACACUAUAUGCAUAAGAAGGACUGUAUGUAAGCAACUAACCCUUUAAGAGAAGAGUUUGGUCUGAACGUAAUCCGAGCCAAGUUAAACAAAUGUACAGAAGUUUAUGUAAUUUAGUAAUUCAAAAUGACUAACCAGAGUAACACUUCAUUUAAAAUAUGCUGGCAAGGAAAGAUUGCAUCCUCACGUUGUGUCUUAGAUCAAGUCUUUAAAAGCUAGCUGUAAAUCUGUAGCGAUCAUUAGCCUGUCAUCGUCUUAAAACGUUGACAACAUUUACAGGAGUGCAAGCAGUAUUUAAUGGCAUGUUUCUUAAUGGUUAAAGUAAAUUUGAAGCCUUAAAUAUAAAAGCUGUAGCAUGUGACAUAAAAUAAUGAAGUAAAAUUGCAUUUUAUAAUGGUAAUUAUUCCCAACUACUUUUUAUUUUGUAAUACAAAGGUACAAAGCAUCUCUACUAAUACUGAGCCUUUGACACAAAUUUUGUCUUAAAUCUUGAAUCAUUUCCAACCUGCAUGUGCAGGAUUACUAUUUUUUUUUUUCAGUGCUGUAAGACACGUGGUAUAUGGUUAAAUCAAUGUGUAAUGAUGCAAAUUUAUAUAGUACAUUGGUUCACAUUCCGGAAAAAAAUGCUGGUGCUUUAUCUUGGCUGUGCUGUAGUGUUUUAUAGGUGUUUGUUGUGUAGUUUUUUUUCUUUCUUCCUUUUCAACCAUCCAUUAUCUGCUGCUUAUCCGGGGUCGGGUCACAGGGGCAGCAGUCUGGGCAGGGAUGCCCAGACCUCCCUCUCACCAGCCACCUCCUCCAGCUCCACCAGGGGGAUACCAAGGAGUUCCCAGGCCAGCCAAAAGAUCAGUUUUUUUUUUAUUUUUUUAUUAUUGGUCUUUCAGAUAUCCAGCUUGACGCUCUGCCAAACAAAGUGGAUUUUUUUAAAGUAACUCAUGUAAACGUGUUAUUGGUUUUUUCCUUUCGAAAUGUUGUGCUCAUUUUAUUAUUGUAUUUUAAAACAAUCUGCACUAUGUGCUGUAGUACAUAUCCAGACGGUUGAAAUCUAUUUGUUUAUUUAGAAAAUGUUUGUCCCAAAUGUGUUUUGUCUUAAAACUGGAUGGUGGCAAAAAUGUAGUGCCUUUUGAAGUUCUUGUACUAACUGCCACAUUUCUGUCCAGAUCAUUUCCUCAUUCUGCGUGCUUUUUAUACAUGUUCAAGAAAACAUGCUUCCUGUAUCAAUCUAAUUUUUCUAUAAAAGAAAUUCUUGAUGGGAUAUCUGCUCUUAAUUUUAAUAGUAGCAUAUGUGGAUGACAUCAGUAGGCUUUAAUGCCCAAGCAUACAUUUUAUUAGUUAUCCAUCAGGAAGUUGCAAAUUAAUGCCAAGUCUAUGUAUAAAUGUAGAACCGUGAGUUUUGCUGCUGUGAUCGUGGAAUCUGACCUUUCAAUAAACGCCAAUUGUUCAUGACGGAAUGAAAAUACUAUCCAGUUACAGUGGAAGUCGUGUUGAGUUCAUAUUAAAAUGUAGUUACCUUCAUGCA